GGACCGUUCUUACCUAGGACGGUGAGGCGUGCGGGGCGGGACCGGAUGGCGGCCUGGAUGGCCUGGCACUCGUACACAGCAUCGUCUUGCAGCUCUGCCCGCAGGAUCUUCAGUUUCAGGAUGGACAGGAAGUAGAAACCGAGGCCCACCCACCAGUUCCCAGGAACCUCUGGUCACUUGGAACUCUGUUCAGGCCUGGCUGGAGAUGCUACAAGGCUGUCAGCUGUACCCGCAAGAGCCUGGCCACCCCCCUGCCUGCCCUGCCUGCCCUCUGCUGGGCUUUGGGAAGGAGCCCGGGCAGCGAGCCAUGAUGCUAUCCCAAAGACUGGCAGUAACUUCGCAAAGCACAGGCCCAGAAGCACAGAUUCUGAGGAAGUUCUAGCUCCUUCCACAGCAUCAAUACUCUCUUGCUACUCCCAGGCGAGGCAAAGUUAUUGGAAGUCUGGGUUCUACAGACAAAUUGCCUGGGUUCCAAUGUCAGCUCUAUCACUGCCUAGCUCUGUUGUCUUGGCACUUAGAAGGACCCAAUGCUGGAUCCCAGAAAGACAUUCAUGGAAGUGGAUGCCAGAGGGUCAGUUAUCCAUGCAGCGAUGACCCUUCUAUGAACCAUACAUGGUGACCUGGGGCUUCCUCUUCACCGACCCAACAAGCCCCCAGUCCCUGAUGGAAGCUGAAAACCACUGACCGGGAACCCAGAGAGCUUCCUUAACCAGCAGCAGUGCUGGGCCAGCUCAGAGCCUCAUGGAGCGUGAAGGACUCGGUUUGGGAAGAUCGUAUUAUUCCCCCAGUUCCUCUGUGGUAAGGGGGUUCAGAGUCCCUGAAAUUGGCUGGUUCCCACAAUACUUAAAUUUUAUGGCAGCGCAGUAUAUUUUGGAGAUGUGAUUGUGUAUUUUAUCCAUGCUCAGCUGGGCUGCAGCACUCAAACCCUGUGAUACUAUUGACCAUUGCUAUAUUGUUUCAAUACACAUUUUUGGCAAGACAUAACUCACAUUUUAAAAUAUUAACUUCCCAACCAUCAUGUUCCUGAGUGCACUUCGAUUUUUAUUUUCCUGCAGCUGAACACCAUGAGAGAGGCCAAGCUACUUCUCAGUUGAACACAUAUUCUUCUCUCCUUCUCCACCCCCAGACACUCCCCAACCGCAGGGAUACCCACAUUCCUCGUUCUGCAUUUUACAGUUUAUGCUAAGCUAGCAAACAACCACAUGCCUACCCUCCUCAGGGGAGAAUAAUAAUGGCUGAUGGGUGAGUGACCAGGAGGAUGAUUUCAUUCUUUUUUCUCCCAGAGGAGAGGAUGGAUUGGAAAAACGUCUGUGUGGGCUUAAGCGUUGACAUUUACAAUAGUUAACAGGUGAUGGGGCGUGGGCACCAACCAGGCAGCACAGACGUCAGCCAUCAACAACCAUGGGAGCCCACCAGCGCAUCUUUGCUGAAUACCAGCCUGGGUGGUGGGCUGAACGAGGCUUGGAAUUUAUUUUAAACACUGGUUUUCUUUUCUCCCCAUCACAUGAUGACCCCUAAACCCAACCAGGUUUCUUCGCGUUUUCAAUCUACUUGGCUCCCUUUAAUGGUUGGAAGGAGGGAAGAACAACACUUAACUUGUGACUUAAGUGGGGAACACAUGUUGGACAAAGGAAAAGGAACACUUUACUUCUGGAAAACUGACUUUAUGUGAAUCAUGUUUGACUUUGGAAUGGACCCUCCAGGGCAACACUGUGUUAAGUUUAGGACUGACCGCCCGAAUUGAGGGUUUACUCAUAAUUCAUCCCCAGGAGUCAGAGGGGCCCGCAAAGUCCCAUGCAUCCUGGACCCAGGGCCUGCCUUGCCUGCCUCUGCCCGUGGGAUCUGCAAUGAAAGCUGAGAUUUAAUCCCCAAAUGCCUCUGAAGAUGGGGU